UCUUGGUCAUUUAGAGGAAGUAAAAGUCGUAACAAGGUCUCCGUUGGUGAACCAGCGGAGGGAUCAUUACUGAGUACUACACUCUCUACCCUUUGUGAACUAUUAUACCUGUUGCUUCGGCGGCGCCCGCGAGGGUGCCCGCCGGUCUCAUCAGAAUCUCUGUUUUCGAACCCGACGAUACUUCUGAGUGUUCUUAGCGAACUGUCAAAACUUUUAACAACGGAUCUCUUGGCUCCAGCAUCGAUGAAGAACGCAGCGAAACGCGAUAUGUAAUGUGAAUUGCAGAAUUCAGUGAAUCAUCGAAUCUUUGAACGCACAUGGCGCCUUCCAGUAUCCUGGGAGGCAUGCCUGUCCGAGCGUCGUUUCAACCCUCGAGCCCCCGUGGCCCGGCGUUGGGGAUCUGCCACGGCAGGCCCCUAAAACCAGUGGCGGACCCGAAGGCCCUCUCCUUUGCGCAGUAGCAUCAGCCUCGCAUUGGGAUCCCUCGGCGUCCUGCCUCUAAACCCCCCACAAGUCCGCUCCGGCGGCACCAAGGUUGACCUCGGAUCAGGUAGGAAUACCCGCUGAACUUGAGCAUAUCAAUAAGCGGAGGA
rnacentral:rRNA from 1 species